AUUGAACGCUGGCGGCAGGCCUAACACAUGCAAGUCGAGCGGAUGAAGAGAGCUUGCUCUCUGAUUCAGCGGCGGACGGGUGAGUAAUGCCCAGGAAUCUGCCUGGUAGUGGGGGACAACGUUUCGAAAGGAACGCUAAUACCGCAUACGUCCUACGGGAGAAAGCAGGGGACCUUCGGGCCUUGCGCUAUCAGAUGAGCCUAGGUCGGAUUAGCUAGUUGGUGGGGUAAUGGCCCACAAAGGCGACGAUCCGUAACUGGUCUGAGAGGAUGAUCAGUCACACUGGAACUGAGAGACGGUCCAGACUCCUACGGGAGGCAGAAGUGGGGAAUAUUGGACAAUGGGCGAAAGCCUGAUCCAGCCAUGCCGCGUGUGUGAAGAAGGUCUUCGGAUUGUAAAGCACUUUAAGUUGGGAGGAAGGGCAUUAACCUAAUACGUUAGUGUUUUGACGUUACCAACAGAAUAAGCACCGGCUAACUUCGUGCCAGCAGCCGCGGUAACAC
rnacentral:rRNA from 1 species